rnacentral:rRNA from 1 species
GGGAUUGCCCUAGUAACGGCGAGUGAAGCGGCAACAGCUCAAAUUUGAAAUCUGGCUCUCGGGCCCGAGUUGUAAUUUGUAGAGGAUACUUUUGAUGCGGUGCCUUCCGAGUUCCCUGGAACGGGACGCCAUAGAGGGUGAGAGCCCCGUCUGGUUGGAUGCCAAAUCUCUGUAAAGUUCCUUCAACGAGUCGAGUAGUUUGGGAAUGCUGCUCUAAAUGGGAGGUAUAUGUCUUCUAAAGCUAAAUACCGGCCAGAGACCGAUAGCGCACAAGUAGAGUGAUCGAAAGAUGAAAAGCACUUUGAAAAGAGAGUUAAAAAGUACGUGAAAUUGUUGAAAGGGAAGCGUUUAUGACCAGACUUGGGCUUGGUUAAUCAUCUGGGGUUCUCCCCAGUGCACUUUUCCAGUCCAGGCCAGCAUCAGUUUUCCCCGGGGGAUAAAGGCGGCGGGAAUGUGGCUCUCUUCGGGGAGUGUUAUAGCCCACCGUGUAAUACCCUGGGGGGGACUGAGGUUCGCGCAUCUGCAAGGAU